GUGGGGAAUAUUGGACAAUGGGCGCAAGCCUGAUCCAGCCAUGCCGCGUGAGUGAUGAAGGCCUUAGGGUUGUAAAGCUCUUUCAGUGGGGACGAUAAUGACGGUACCCACAGAAGAAGCCCCGGCUAACUUCGUGCCAGCAGCCGCGGUAAUACGAAGGGGGCUAGCGUUGUUCGGAUUUACUGGGCGUAAAGCGCACGUAGGCGGAUCGUUAAGUCGGGGGUGAAAUCCUGGAGCUCAACUCCAGAACUGCCUUCGAUACUGGCGAUCUGGAGUCCGGAAGAGGUGAGUGGAACUCCUAGUGUAGAGGUGGAAUUCGUAGAUAUUAGGAAGAACACCAGUGGCGAAGGCGGCUCACUGGUCCGGUACUGACGCUGAGGUGCGAAAGCGUGGGGAGCAAACAGGAUUAGAUACCCCAGUAGUCC
rnacentral:rRNA from 1 species